UACAGAGGUGGCAAGCGUUGUUCGGAAUUACUGGGCGUAAAGGGCGCGUAGGCGGUUCGUUAAGUCCUGUGUGAAAUCCCCCGGCUCAACUGGGGAACUGCACAGGAAACUAGCGGGCUUGAGUUCGGGAGAGGGAAGCGGAAUUCCAGGUGUAGCGGUGAAAUGCGUAGAUAUCUGGAGGAACACCGGUGGCGAAGGCGGCAUCCUGGACCAACACUGACGCUGAGGCGCGAAAGCUAGGGGAGCAAACGGG
rnacentral:rRNA from 1 species